UAUUGGUCCUAUAUAUGACUAGAACAAUAUGAUGAUACAAUGCACAUCGGUCCGCUUUACUGGCAUCUAUCUUUCAAGUUGAAGGAGGGGAGGCACUCGUGUGGAGCUGCUCAAUGUUCAAGGAGAUACGGCUGAUUAAACCAGGUUAUUUUAAAGUUCUUUAUGGUUCAUGUUAGCUAUCUAUCAGUAAUAGUACAACCUUGAUUUUUAUGUGGUUCAUGUUUACCUAACCAUCAGUGAUAUUACUUUCUAUUGGAGACUUUUUACAGGAGGUGCUUAUAAAAUGAUAGUUGAAUAAGUACAGAUUUUGGAUCGCGAUCAUCUAUUUACCAGGCAUCGAUCAAAAUCGAGCAUUCUUUGUUGUGUGCCACAUGGAAAAGACAGAGAUUGUCUGAUAUAUCCGAUAGCGCAAUAUAAUUUUCUCUUGCAUAUUUAUAAUCUGCCAUUUGAAUCAUGUUUUCUGUGCUGUAGUCCAAUCAAGACAAUUUGCAACUUUGGUGUUGUGACGUUGGAGUCCAUGUUUCAGUUGUUGAGCUCUGCACUACAAAACCGAGAAAGACCCAAGGCUUUUUAUAGUGGGAUCAUUUCUACAGACUACAAAUAGAGGGAAGUUGGCUUGUGCCUUACUAGAGACAGAUGAACCAAUAAAAUGAUUGGAAAGGCUCUUUCCAAGCAUAAGAUAAGCUGAAUCUUGUACAGUUUAUUUCUUAAUAUAUUUUGGUCAGUAUGUUGUUUAUUUUCUGAAAAUGAUACUCCAUUGUAGAUUACCUAUGAUGAAAAUUACAUUCUCUGCGGGCGCUGAUUGAGAUAUAUUACUAUGGGCAAAGGAAGUUCAAAAUUUAUCUCAGUCAAACAUGUGCAAAGGAAAUUCAAAAUAUGUUGUAUUAGGGAAGAUUCUUAAAUCAGUGAAGUAUCUAGAGGGCUGAUUAGGACACUCCUCAUAAUGUUUGAUACUUUACUAUUUGGGAUUAGGCCAUUGGUGAACAUGACAAUGCGGCUGUUGGUCACGGAUGCCGGGGGCGUGAGCAGGGUUGAGGAGCUCACACAGUGCUAUACAUGACAACCUGCGAGUGGUGGCUGGAGGUGGCAUGCCUGCUGCUUGGUUGGAAGUCUGACAUAAACUCCCACGACCGACUGGUAAGCAUGGAGAUGGAGCGCGCCGCCUCAUCGAUGUGGGAGCUGCAUUGCACGUACAGGGCACGAUGGCUCAUGGAUGCUGGAGCUGUAG